AUGAAUGUGAUCUGGGUCAAAAUUUACAUAUAUUGCUGAGUUUUCUGCAGAACACUCCUAACCUCGAGAAAGUUAUAUUGCAGAACUGCGAGAUUUCAGAUCAUUCGAGAAACAGGAAAAGAACACCCAAGGCAAACAGGAACCAGAUUCAUUCCAAGAGCAGAAGUCUGAUAACUUCCAAGUCUGAGAUCUCGAAGAUAAUGAAGAUGACAUAUGAAGAUGACGGUAUCAGCGACCUUAUUGAACUUUUGUUGCGCAGUUGGAGAAAACUUGAGGACCAUACUAUCAUAAUCACCAAGAUUUGA
rnacentral:lncRNA from 1 species